AGCAGCCGCAGUAAUUCCAGCUCCAAUAGCGUAUAUUAAAGUUGUUGUAGUUAAAAAGCUCGUAGUUGAAUUUCGAGAUUCUACCGUCGGUCAGGCUACCAAGUCUGUACUGGUGUAUAGAAUUUCUACCUUCUGGGAACCAUCAUGUUAUUAAUUUAGCAUAGUGGGAAACCAGGACCUUUACCUUGAAAUAUUAGAGUGUUCAAAGCAGGCUUAUGUCUGAAUAUAUUAGUAUGCAAUAAUAGAAUAGGACGGUGGUUCUGUUUUGUUGGUUUCUGAAUCACCGUAAUGAUUAAUAGGGAUAGUUGGGGGCAUUAGUAUUCAAUUGUCAGAGGUGAAAUUCUUGGAUUUAUUGAAGACUAACUUCUGUGAAAGCAUUUGCCAAGAAUGUUUU
rnacentral:rRNA from 1 species